GCUAUGCCCGAUCUCGUCUGAUCUCGGAAGCUAAGCAGGGUCGGGCCUGGUUAGUACUUGGAUGGGAGACCGCCUGGGAAUACCAAGUGCUGUAAGCUU
rnacentral:rRNA from 2 species